AGGGUAAUAGCUCAGUGGCAGAGCAUGGGCUUAGUAAGCAUGAGAUCCUGGGUUCAAUCCCUAGUAUAUCUA
rnacentral:tRNA from 1 species